AGGACGAACGCUGGCGGCGUGCUUAACACAUGCAAGUCGAGCGGUAAGGCUCCUUCGGGAGUACACGAGCGGCGAACGGGUGAGUAACACGUGAGCAAUCUGCCCUUCACUUUGGGAUAACUUCCGGAAACGGAAGCUAAUACCGAAUACGACCACUUCACGCAUGUGAUGGUGGUGGAAAGUUCCGGCGGUGAAGGAUGAGCUCGCGGCCUAUCAGCUUGUUGGUGAGGUAAUGGCUCACCAAGGCUUCGACGGGUAGCCGGCCUGAGAGGGUGACCGGCCACACUGGGGACUGAGACACGGCCCAGACUCCUACGGGAGGCAGCAGUGGGGAAUAUUGGACAAUGGGCGAAAGCCUGAUCCAGCAACGCCGCGUGAGGGAUGACUGCCUUCGGGUUGUAAACCUCUUUCAGCGGGGACGAAGCGAAAGUGACGGUACCCGCAGAAGAAGCACCGGCCAACUACGUGCCAGCAGCCGC
rnacentral:rRNA from 1 species